CUAGCCCAGAUUGAUGCGGCAUCCUUUUUUUCUAUUAAGAGCAAAAAAGAUAUAGCGGAAAGCUGGAAAAAG
rnacentral:sRNA from 1 species